AUUAGCUAGUUGGUAGUGUAACGGACUACCAAGGCGAUGAUCAGUAGCCGGUCUGAGAGGAUGAACGGCCACAUUGGGACUGAGACACGGCCCAAACUCCUACGGGAGGCAGCAGUGGGGAAUCUUCCGCAAUGGACGAAAGUCUGACGGAGCAACGCCGCGUGAGUGAUGAAGGAUUUCGGUCUGUAAAGCUCUGUUGUUUAUGACGAAGUGCAGUGUGUGAACAAUGCAUUGCAAUGACGGUAGUAAACGAGGAAGCCACGGCUAACUACGUGCCAGCAGCCGCGGUAAUACGUAGGUGGCGAGCGUUGUCCGGAAUUAUUGGGCGUAAAGAGCAUGUAGGCGGCUUAAUAAGUCGAGCGUGAAAAUGCGGGGCUCAACCCCGUAUGGCGCUGGAAACUGUUAGGCUUGAGUGCAGGAGAGGAAAGGGGAAUUCCCAGUGUAGCGGUGAAAUGCGUAGAUAUUGGGAGGA
rnacentral:rRNA from 1 species